rnacentral:tRNA from 1 species
GGGCCUUUAGCUCAGUCGGUAGAGCAGUGGACUUUUAAUCCAUUGGUCGCGGGUUCGAGCCCCGCAGGGCCCA